AUUGAACGCUGGCGGCAGGCCUAACACAUGCAAGUCGAGCGAGCGGCGGACGGGUGAGUAAUAUCUGGGAAACUGCGUGAUGGAGGGGGAUAACUACUUCAAAAGGUAGCUAAUACCGCAUACCAUCAGAUGUGCCCACAUGGGAUUAGCUAGUAGGUGGGGUAAUGGCUCACCUAGGCGACGAUCCCUAGCUGGUCUGAGAGGAUGACCAGCCACACUGGAACGGAGACACGGUCCAGACUCCUACGGGAGGCAGCAGUGGGGAAUAUUGCACAAUGGGCGCAAGCCUGAUGCAGCCAUGCCGCGUGUGUGAAGAAGGCCUUCGGGUUGUAAAGUACUUUCAGCGGGGAGGCGUUACCCGCAGAAGAAGCACCGGCUAACUCCGUGCCAGCAGCCGCGGUAAUAC
rnacentral:rRNA from 1 species